rnacentral:rRNA from 1 species
GAUGAACGCUGGCGGCGUGCUUAACACAUGCAAGUCGAACGAUGAAGCCCAGCUUGCUGGGUGGAUUAGUGGCGAACGGGGGAGUAACACGUGAGUAACCUGCCCUUGACUCUGGGAUAAGCCUGGGAAACUGGGUCUAAUACUGGAUAUGACUUCUCAUCGCAUGGUGGGGGGUGGAAAGAUUUAUUGGUCUUGGAUGGACUCGCGGCCUAUCAGCUUGUUGGUGAGGUAAUGGCUCACCAAGGCGACGACGGGUAGCCGGCCUGAGAGGGUGACCGGCCACACUGGGCCUGAGACACGGCCCAGACUCCUACGGGAGGCAGCAGUGGGGAAUAUUGCACAAUGGGCGCAAGCCUGAUGCAGCGACGCCGCGUGGGGGAUGACGGCCUUCGGGUUGUAAACCUCUUUCAGUAGGGAAGAAGCGAGAGUGACGGUACCUGCAGAAGAAGCGCCGGCUAACUACGUG